UAAUUUUGUACUGUUUCGCUUUCUAUAUAAUUUCAAGUACUCUGUUUGUAGUCAUUUUAAUUUUUAUUAAUUAGCUCGCAAAAUACUCAACAAGAAAGAUAGUUGAGUGUUUACAUAUAAGAGCAUUACGAUUUUAAUAAAGAUAGUGUAUAUUUGGUGUUUGAUAUAUAUAUUUUUUAAUAUAUUUUUCGUGUAUGAUUCGAAAAG